CCUAUCAUCAAGGUUCCCUGAGAGUAAGGGCGGCACCAGGAGGAUGUUGAUGGGGUUUCUAAGAAAAAGAAAAAGAAAUAGAAAAAGAAAGGGAGGGGCAAACCACAACAGUCAACUGCCCAGACUCAGUCACAUCUGUUGCCGCCUGUACCACCACUCAACGCUGAACCCACUCUGAGUGCUUCUAAGGAGGAGGAAAAGAAAUUGAAGAUGGCAGCCACCAUAGCCACGUCCGGCUCCUCAUAUGUGACCUCACCUCCGCAGACAAAAAAAGGUAAGCCUUCUAGAGAAGUUUGUUGUUCAUGAUGCAGAUCCCCUGAUGGAGAUGCCCAGCAUCGAUCAAUUGCCAGAGAAAGGGGAUGUAAAAGAGAAGUUGGUUCCUAAACUGCCUGAUCCCGUGCAUAAAGUUUUCUUUAUCAAGGCCAUAUCAUAUUUGGGCCGCCGGUUCAGAAUUGUUCUUCAGGAUGAGAAUGGACCCUGUGCAUUUAUUGCUAUUUCUAAUUUCCUCAUCCUUGACAGUAGAAUCACUUUGCCAUAUUCGACGAUAGUGUUAGCAGCUGACUUAGUCGAGUUCGUCUUCUCACAUGUCUUUGAAAACAUGAAGAGUGAAGAAUAUGAUUCUGCAUAUGCUGCGGUGAAGCAAUCCAAAACUGGCCUGAAUAUUGAUAUCCUCUGUUCAAGGUGUGGUUAGCGAGGUUUUUAUGCAGUAGUCUGUCCCUCAUUUGUAUAUUGUGCAGCAUUAAUGGGUUUACAGAAACUGCUCAAUAUAAGAUCUUCAAAGUCCUCAAUAUCCCAUUAUAUCAUUGCUGGGUGUUAAACCUCGAUCUUCAGGAGGGAAAAGAACUACAAGCUGCAGUUGAGGACAGGUCCUAUGAUAGACUUGAGUUGGAUCGGGCUGGAUACAGGUCUGUUAAAGAGGCAGAUGGGUCUUCUUCAAGUGAAUCUUCAGCAAGAAAGGAUAUGGACCAUAGAUAUGAUCUGAUAGAUAAAUUUUUUUUCUGAUAGCUGUGGACAAAAAACAGAUUUUGGGUUGGUUUCUUUAAAGAAGAAUGUAAAAGAAAAAGAUCUCUUUGCUUUUUUCGGGAACAACCAUUUUAGCAUCAUAUAUAAGGUAUUGUAAUUUGCUAAUUCUUGUAUCUGAUUGUUCUUAUACCUUUGUAUGUUGGUCUUUUUUUACUUUUCAGCAUAAUAUAACCUUUUUUAGUUUGAUAACUGAUGCUGGUAAGGAGUCGUGGAAGAUGCUUGAUGACAAUGUAUGUCCUUUCUGUUACUUCUCUUUGAUUUAGGCAGUAACUUUUGUAAUUACUGAUUUUUUUAUUUUUGUGAUAAAAACAUAAUUAGCUUCUGGAAUCUGGUCUACCUGUGGAGGACAAAUUGACACCAUUGGAUCAAACGUUGUGUUAGCGAGGCUGUUAGCAAGGCUUAUAGUGGGCCGGCCUUUGGGCCUUGGCGCCUAGCCUAGGCGGCUAGGGUUUUAGAUGGGUUAUGGUAAUUGAUCUCGAUUAGGCAAGGAUCUCCGUUGAUUGUGUGUGUUCUAUAAACCCUAGAUACCGAUCCUUGCCUAUAUAAUGUACCCCAUGUACUCUCGUUAAUCAAUCACCAAUUUCCCGUGCCA